rnacentral:rRNA from 1 species
AUUGAACGCUGGCGGCAGGCCUAACACAUGCAAGUCGAACGGAUGAACAGUGCUUGCUUCUGGUUUCAGCGGCGGACUGGUGAGUAAUUCCUGGGAAUAUCCCUGGUUGUGGUUUAGAACGUCCUGAAGCGGGCGCUAAUACCGCAUACGUGCUGAGGGAGAAAGUGGGUGAGCUUCGGACCUCACGCUCUCAGGAGAUUCUAGGUCGGAUUAGCUAGUUGGUGGGGUAAAGGCCUACCAAGGCGACGAUCCGUAACUGGUCUGAGAGGAUGAUCAGUCACACUGGAACUGAGACACGGUCCAGACUCCUACGGGAGGCAGCAGUGGGGAAUAUUGGACAAUGGGCGAAAGCCUGAUCCAGCCAUGCCGCGUGUGUGAAGAAGGUCUUCGGAUUGUAAAGCACUUUAGGUUGGGAGGAAGGGCAGUAAGUUAAUACCUUGCUGUUUUGACGUUACCAACAGAAUAAGCACCGGCUAACUUCGUG